GUUAAUCCGUUGUUCAUUUUCUUCCGUCCGGAUUUCAAAGAAUUUCGACUUUCUCUGCCGUAAGAAUUUGAUGUUUUCACGGUUGUUGUUGAGAUAUAUUUAACGUAGAUGUUAAAAUGGCCGGUUAGUCGUGUUAGUUUUCAUCAAGUGUGUUUAAAACGGGAGGGUCUUGUUAAUUGCUGGUGGUGAAGUUUCUCUUUUAGGUGGGGUGGAAGCAUAGCGACUAUGUUUGAUACAAUCUUCCAGUUUAACUCGAGAAUAACAAUAUAAUGUGCUAUAUUUUCGCCGUUAGUUAAAGUAUUGCAGAAAAAACAUUGUAGCAAAAUGUGUAUGUAGAGCAUUAAGCCAAAUUUAAGAAGUGCAGAUAGUCUAAGGUGCACUGGCGAGAAGUAAGGGACUGAAACUGGGACCAUGGAUAUAGAUGGGAGGUCCCACAAUCGGACUUGGGACUGGGACAGUCCAUACUGCCGGGCCCAGCUGGACGAAAUUUUCUUCCGUCAGAACGACUAUAUCCAAGCCGGCAGCCAGGAACACAAAGACUUCUGGGCCUUUUUUGACCGCUUCCAGAGGUUCAAGCUAAAGAAGGACAUGUGUGGACAUGAUCCGAGCUUUGAUGAGGGCAGUCACUCAGACCAAACGGGGUCGUUAGACCUCCCUAAGGAGUAUGACGCCCGGUACCGCAUCAAUGUGUCCCUAGUUACCAAAGACAUCGAGGAGCGUCUGGGACGAUCCCACCCGAGUCACGGCAGGCGCGACUCUUCGGGUCCGAACGCUCAAGUAAUCUCGGAUUUCCGUCUGUCCUUGCUGCACUACCUGGACUUCAGCCAGCGGCAGAGUUUCGGCAAGUUGGCCAAGCUGCAGCGCGACCAGAAGAACCUGCCCAUCUUCCAAUACCGAGACCGCAUCGUGGACCUGGUCAAGAAACACUCGGUUGUCGUGGUGGCAGGAGAUACCGGCUGUGGCAAGUCCACUCAGGUGCCCCAGUAUCUCCUCUCGGCCGGGUUCACGCAGAUAGCCUGCACCCAACCCCGACGUAUCGCCUGCAUUUCCCUGGCCAAGAGGGUCAGCUUUGAGAGUCUGAACCAGUAUGGCUCAAAGGUGGGCUACCAGAUCCGCUUUGAGACCACGCGCACCCUCGCCACUAAGCUCAUCUUCCUGACCGAGGGUCUCCUGCUGAGGCAGAUCCAGCAGGAAAAGAUGCUGGAGCAGUACCAGGUGCUGAUCGUAGACGAGGUGCACGAGCGCCACCUUCACGGCGACUUCCUGUUGGGCGUGCUGCGCUCUCUGCUGGCCGACCGACCCGCCGACCUGCGGCUCAUCCUCAUGUCGGCCACCAUCAACAUCAAGCUGUUCUCGGACUACUUCGGCGGCGCUCCCGUGCUGCAGGUGCCGGGCAGACUCUUCCCCAUACAGGUGCUCUAUCAGCCCAUCCCCCCUGAAGAGCAGGCGUCGUCCCGCAUGGAGAAGCUUGAGCCCCGGCCGUACCUGCGCAUCCUGCAGACCAUCGACCAGCGCUACCCGCCAGAGGAGCGUGGCGACCUGCUGAUCUUCCUGAGCGGCGUAGCUGAGAUCGGCGCCAUCCAGGAGGCGUGUCAGGUGUACGCCACUCACACACGGCGCUGGAUUGUGCUGCCGCUGCACAGCACGCUCUCGCUGGCCCAGCAGGACAAGGUGUUUGACAUCGCGCCUCCUGGUGUGAGGAAGUGCAUCAUUUCCACCAACAUCGCAGAGACCUCAGUCACUAUAGAUGGCGUACGCUUUGUCGUCGACUCAGGCAAGGUGAAGGAGAUGAGUUUUGACCCCAAGGCCAAGAUGCAGCGUCUUCAGGAGUUCUGGAUCAGCCGGGCCAGUUCGGAGCAGAGGAAGGGCCGCGCCGGUCGCACGGGUCCCGGCGUGUGCUACCGCCUCUAUGCCGAGUCCGACUACGAUGCCUUCGCCUCCUACCCUGUACCUGAAAUCCACCGAGUGGCGCUGGACUCCCUGGUUCUGCAGAUGAAGAGCAUGGGACUCGGAGAUCCGCUUUCGUUUGUCUUCAUCGAUCCCCCGCCGGCCGCCAGCAUCCAGACCGCCAUUACCUACCUCAAGGAGCAGGGGGCGCUGGACCAACAGUGCGAGCUGACCACCAUUGGGAGUGUGCUGGCCCAGCUUCCCGUCGACGUCGUAAUCGGAAAGAUGCUGGUGCUGGGCUCCUUGUUCAACCUGGUGGAGCCCAUGCUGACGGUGGCCGCCGCGCUCAGCGUGCAGUCGCCGUUCCUGCGCAGCUCGCAGCACAACCCCGACUGCGCCACCGCUCGCCAGCCGCUGCACUGCAACCAGGGGGACCCCUUCACGCUGCUCAACACCUUCAACGCCUGGGUGCAGGUAAAGGGCGAGCGAGGCGGCGGUUCCAGGAAGUGGUGCCGUCGGCGAGGCCUGGAGGAGCAGCGGCUCUACGAGAUGGUCAACCUGCGCAGACAAUUUAAGGAGCUGCUGAGGAGCCACAGCCUGCUGGAGGCGGAGGCCGACGACGACAAACGCGGCGACCGGCAGCAGCGGCGUCAGCAUUUGACGGAGAGGAGGAAGCUCCAUCAGAUGAAGAGAGCUCACGAGCAGCAGGAGGGCACCAAACGCAAAGUCCUCAAAAUGGAAGAGGGCCAGGAAGGGGAGUUCUCCUCCGGAUCCGACACAGAGCAAGCGGGACGAGGACGGAGCAGGAAGAAGGACAAGAAUGGAGCUCAGGUGGACAUCCAGGAAGUGAAAUUCAAACUGCGCCACAACGUAUCAGAGCUGCAGGACGCCGUCGGCGCCAGCCAGGAUUUGUCAUCCCGCCAGCAAUCUCUCCUCAAGCUUCUUCUCUGCCGGGGUCUUUACCCUCAGCUGGCGCUGCCCGACGAGCACAACGGCACCCGCAAAGACACCGAGCAGGUGUUCCACACCAAGAAUAAGCAGGGAAUCGUCAUCCAUCCCACCAGUGUGUUUGCCAGCGACCCCGAGGUGCUACAUGUGCGGGACGACAUCCGCGAUACGGGACGGGAAAGCGGCAAACAUCAGCUGCUGGCCUUCGUCACCUUGCUGGAGACCAACAGGCCCUAUUUGUCCAACUGUGUGCGUGUUCCCGCACUGCAGGCUCUGCUGCUGGUGGCCAACUCUUUGGACAGCAAUGCCGACUGCUCCCGUCUGGUGGUGGACGGUUGGUUGGAGCUGCAGCUGAAGGUCCCCGAGGAAGCCCUCAAGGCCCUGUCCACGGCGCUCUCCCUCCGGGCCGAGUGGGAGCGCCUCCUGCAGGCCCACUUGGGCCAGAGUCCCACCGCCGAGGGGUCCCGCAAGGCCACUCAGAAGCUAAGCGAGCGCUUGGUCCGCUUCUUGCUUUACACCGAGAUCAACUACAGCCUGCAGCGUCUCUCCGCCCUCCACAUUCAGAACCUGUACGUCGGACCCCAGGCCGAGGCUGAACUUUCUCACGGCACCAGCGCCGGUCUCACGCCGCUGUUUCCAGGCACUGAGGCCAAGCCGGACCCAAUCAAGGGAGGACUGCGCGUCGCCAACUUUUUCACCUACAACUGCCUGACCGAUUCCAGGGACCUGUACAGCGAGUGCCUGCGUACUUUCUGGAACUGUCCCAACUGCGAGCUCUACAUGCCGCUGACGCCGCUGGAGCGAAUGCAGCACGAGACCACCUGCAGGCUGGCAGGGGAACAACAAGAGCAGGAUGGUGAAGGGACGGAUGUCGGGAAGCCAAUCUCGUCGUCUUCCUCCUCCAGUCUGUGCCGAGUCUACCACUGCGACGUUUGCAACCAGGACUUGACGCUGACGUCCACGGAGAUCCUCAAGCACAAAAGGCAACACAUGUACUCCACUAAGUAACAUCACAUUACAUUGAAGUCUCUCUGUAACGUGCAAGGAGACGUGGAAACAUCUGCUAGGAGCUGCUGUAAGCCACAACUCCCAUCCAGAUGCUCCUGCUGAAAUAACCUGGCUCCAGAUGUCACCACUAGGCCCCGCCUCUUUUGCCUCUCCCCGCGGAUGACGUACUCUCUCCGCUUGUGGCUUCGCCCCUUGCAUAUCACCACGUGACUGAGGCCACCCCCGCCAAGGGGCACCCAGCCGCCGCUGGAGUCGUCACGUGUCAUCACCACGGCUCGAACACGCACGCUGGAGGAGGCCGGAAAAGACAACGUGAGAUGGCUCGUGCACGCGGCGCGGCCAUGUGAGGCACAGUGGGAUGGCUACGCGUGGAGCGGGCGGGCGGGCGUGUGCGCGCGACGGGAUCGAAGCAAAGGCAGCAGCACCAUGGACAGCGCCGGCCAUUCACACAAGACUAAGGUGGGGAUUUGGACAAAAGUAGGUAUACGGUACACUGUGAGAUCAUUCCUCCCCUCAAGUCCGCUUUUGAUUCAUGCUUUUUUCUUUCCGUAAUACCUGCUGUUUAUUCAUUCAUGUGUCUAUGCUUCCUUUACUUUCAAGCAUCCUUGCACUGCUUUCUUUUCUGCCUUCUUCAGACCUUCUUAUUCAAGCAUCCUUAGAUCGCUUUCCAUUGCUUGAACCAACUUUCUACCCUGAUUCCUUACUUCCCUCAGACCCACCUUGAUUCAUGCCGCCUAGUAUUUUUCUGACAUCCUCUUUUUCCUCCUUUGUUCAUUUCAUGUUGUCCUUUGAUAAUUCAUGUCUCCUUCCAUUGCUUUUUUUCCCCCCACUUUUCUAUCUUCUUUGUUGGUUGCAUCCUACCUUCCUCACUCAGACCUACUUUUUAGUCAUGUAUCCUUAAACCUUUCCUGUGCUUGGAAUGACUUUUCUGUUGCCCUUCUCCACACUUUUGAUCUAUGAAUCCUUCAAAAUAUCUUGAUGGACAGAACAAGCAUUUUUCCUUCAUUUGACAUAACCAUGGUGGAAUUUUAAUUUAUGCAGUAAAAGGUGUGGCAUCAAGAAGCAAGUAAAACCAGCAAUUUUGUUUCUUUUUAAUGAAGUUAAUUACAAUUAGGAGGGGUUCUGUUUAGAUUUUACAAGACAGACAUCAGAUGUCAUUGUAGAAAGACAAUAAACAUCAGUAAGUUUGGGGUAAAAAAAAAAAGAAGGCAAUAACAAUCUGAACGUAUUACACUUUGUCCUGUUUGCUCAAACGAUCAUCUCCAGCUGCCUGGCGUACUCGAUGACCUGCUGCGCCAACUCCGUGGACGGGAUGCUGACCUCCUCCGUGCGCUGUUGCUGACUGCUGAAUGAGUAGCAACCAUCCGUGUUCAAGAUCCAGCCUCGCUGAAGGACAACGGCAGAGCAGAGUUUUUCAGAAGGUUCAGUUCCCAGAAAAUUGACAAAUCAGGAAAUGGAAUCGAGUCGUGAGCGUGGUGCUGGGAGUUGUGGUUCACGAGUUCCUGGUGAGUGUGUAUGUUUAUUUUUUCUUGUCGGAAUAAAAGCACAGGUACCUUUUUAGCAUACUCUGUCAUCUUUUUUGAUGACGUGAAGAAAAGCACGCGUGUGGCCUCGGUAAAUUGAAUCUGCUCGUAGGCUUUCUCGAUGCAGCCGGCGAUCUCGU